rnacentral:rRNA from 1 species
AUUGAACGCUGGCGGCAGGCCUAACACAUGCAAGUCGAACGAGUGGCGGACGGGUGAGUAAUGUCUGGGAAACUGCCUGAUGGAGGGGGAUAACUACUGGAAACGGUAGCUAAUACCGCAUACCAUCAGAUGUGCCCAGAUGGGAUUGGCUUGUUGGUGGGGUAACGGCUCACCAAGGCGACGAUCCCUAGCUGGUCUGAGAGGAUGACCAGCCAAACGGGAAGUGGGAAACGGUCCAGACUCCUACGGGAGGCAGCAGUGGGGAAUAGUGGACAAUGGGCGCAAGCCGGAUGAAGCCAGGCCGGGUGUAUGAAGAAGGCCUUCGGGUUGUAAAGUACGUUCAGAGGGGAGGCGUUACCUGAAGAAGAAGCAACGGCUAACUCCGUGCCAGCAGCCGCGGUAAUUC